AACGCACCUUGCGCCCUUUGGCCAUUCCGAAGGGCAUGCCUGUUUGAGUAUCAUGAACACCUCAACUCCUUAUGGCUCACCAUGGGGAGCUUGGACUUCUGGGGGUUUUGCUGGCCUGCUUGGGUCAGCUCCUCUCAAAUGAAUCAGCUUUCCAGUGUUUGGUGGCACCAUGGACGUGAUAAAUAUCUACGCUUGUGGUUUGCAGCCAGAUAACCUUCCGUCAGAGGGGGGUUCACUGGAGCUCAUAGAUGUCUUUCUUAUAUGAAGACAGCUCUUUGAAUGUUUGAUCUCAAAUCAGGUAGGACUACCCGCUGAACUUAA
rnacentral:misc_RNA from 1 species